GGGGCACGGGGCAUAAAAGCUAUGUGGAACGAACGACAACAAAAACAACGACGACGGCUGCAACUCGACGGAGGGGAGAGACGCGAGGCGGGACACAGGCAAGUGGCUGCUCAGUUCUCUGUGGUAGUUAUGGCGCGCUCGAAACGUACGAUGACAAAGACGUAGAUAAGGAACAGAAACAUGCACACACACCCGUACACACUCGAGUAUAAUAAAAUGAAAUAAGCAACGGCGUCGCCAGCCAGCCAGCCAGGCCAUUCGUAUUCGUAUUCGUUUCUUCGCUCGUUCGCCGUCAGAGGGGAGGGAUCCAAAAUACGUUGAGAGUGUGAGAGAGCGUGAUGUGAGCGAGGGGGCCAAGGGCGGCGGCAACGGCGACGUUGAUGACGAGAAUAGCAAGCAAGCUGAAGCAGGAACGUACCGGUGGGGAGGAGAGGGGACGCCAAAGGCGAAGCAAAGGCCAGAGAUAGAAUGCUUUGUGCGCGGUUAGCUUUUGGUGUGAAGGGGGAGUAGAGUGGGAGCAGCGAGGAAAUACGAAGGCGGCCCACGUUUGUAGUUAAGUAUGCGUGUCUGUGUGUAGAAAAAUUACUUGGAAGAAAAACAAGCGCUGAGCGGGAACAACAACAAUGAAAUCAUUUAUAACGAAAGAACACAACAAAAUGAAAAACGAAAAAAGUAAAACAGAGUUCGCACUCGAAGUUUAAAAUAGCAAAGUAAACUUGAAAAUGCCCCAAAGCUCCUGCCUUUCCAUAUCCAUCACUCUAUUACAUUCUUCGCCACCCAUGCGAUUACAGCAAAAUGUUAUUGAAUUAACUGUUGUGUUGUGCUGUGGGUGUGGGGACGAGUGCAGUGAGGCCGAGAGCAGGACAGAUAGACAGUGCUCAUAAAGUUCAGCAGAGAUUUACGCGCCAAAAAGUAAGAGACUCAAGUGAAUGAGCACCACAAGGAAGGUGCCAAGGGUUCGAGACCUCGUCUUUCCUUAAGACUGGAAUGAUGUAGCGCCUUUUGCCACAAUUUUUGACUUUAGUUUUUCAAAAGCACUUUAACUCUUUUUUUAUGCAAUGUCAUUUAAAUAAAGAAUGUACAAACACACUCAUUGGCCACACACACACAAGUAUUUGCCCAUGCGUGUGCGUGCGCCUGCCCUGGAGAUGUUGGUCGUCAGCUGCUGGGACCUUUGUGGCUUACCACCUUAAACCUUAAAACCCUUUGCGAUGAAUGUUGAAUGUGGCAGGCACGAAAACAAAAACACCCAGCAAAAGAGAGAGAACAGGUAAUAAACUUUGGGAUACGAAUACCAUAAAAAACGAGAAGGGAGCACGAACACCACAUAGCUUUGAGGACCGAUGCUUUUGAUACCCUUGUACUUUCAUACAUUCAUACAUAUAUCGAAUUUGGUCGCAAGAUUUGUAUCCCUGUUGACUAAGUUUUGUGUAGACAAUUCCAACCAUCUGAUUGAAAUAUUUAAUACGAAUAAUAAAACGUCAAACUACUAACUUUUUUACCGCAUCCCUACUUUCACACUAGAAUCUUCCUGAGGGGGAGCUAGCAGAGUGGGGCUGCGGUCGCAACCACCACAUCCACCUCUGAUCAAAACCAACCAAAGAGACAAGGAGUGGAGGUGACAAGGGUGCAGGCACAGCUGAGCGGUUGCGAAAACAGCGACAGACAAUCAGACUGUCGUUCAUUAGAGGGUGAGUGCGUGUGUAUGCAUGUAUGGUUGUAGGAGUGGAAGCGGGAUGCAAUUUCUGUUUGUGCUGGCUUAAAAAUUGUAUGAGCGAAACGAAAGUUUGUGUGGCUCUGUGUGUCUCUCCACAGCUUUGUAUGGAUGCAUGUGUUUGUGUAAAUGGCAACGGGGAACGCCAACAGCAAACGUACAUACAUAUACGCACGAACACUCCCAAACGGAGAGUAUACAUCGGAGAAGUCGGUUCGGUUCGUUUCGUUCCAUUCGUUUUGCAAGCACCCUGCUCUGACCACUUUACAGCAUGGCAGCAGACGUGACAGACCGACAGUCCCAACAGUCCGCCAGCCCGACAGCAGUAAAAACAACAACUGCAAACCACUUUGUGCACAGACAUUUGUCCCAUGAAUCGAGUUGGAUGGAGCUCCCAGCGUCAGAUCCAGAACCGGCAGAGCCAAAGCCAAAGCUCCACUUCUCUCCGCGCCCGACUCAAUCCGGACCCGACUUGUUCGCUUCGUUCGUUUCGUUUCGUGGUGUGUAUCCAAACGAAGUGAACUGAAAAACAAGCAAACUCACACACAGGCGCACCAGCAGUGGAGCCAGAGCAACGGCAGAGAAACAGCCAGCCCCCAAUGAGUGGAGCACUAAACAUCCCAGCAACAACAGAAAAUGCGACAGAGAAAAACCGGAAAAAUUGUCCAUUGGCCGCGGCCAUGUGACGGCUCGCCGAGCUCAGGGUUGGGGGCUGGCGGGGAUUCUCCAAAUGUAGCUCAGGAGCAGACCGAGCACCUUAGCUAGCUAUGGGGAUGGUGGGGAUGGUCGCGUGACAAGAUUUUCAGUCACAGUCACAAAGGGUAAUUUUAUUUUCACACAAAUCGACUACUCUUCUUGUUUCACGUAAGUGCACGCUAUUGCACAUACAUAUGUCACGCGUCCACCUCUAGUACUUGGUGCACUAAAAUUUGGAUAGCAUGAAAUGAAUUCCGUUGUUGUUGGCUGUUGGGGGCAGAUUGCCUACAGAACAUGACGCAGAGCAAUCUUGAAAUAAGUUUUAAAGUAGGACAGCGAUUCCUAUCGGGACGGGGAUGGUGCUGUGGAAAUCGAUGGAAAUGUCAAUGGAAGUUUAAAUCAUAGUAUAAUGCUUGCAUGUCCAUAUGUAUGCAUUUUGAUGAAAGCAUUUGGUAUAACGAUUGGAAGAGACCGUAAAAUGUUGGCAAUUUUUGUUGCCAAAGCGGGAAAAUGUUGAGUAGUUAAAUAUUGCAAUAUUAUUUCUGUCAGUGUGUGUACACACACACACACACACAAACCAAUGGAAUUUAAAGCAGCUUACAAAUGCAAUAUUGAAUCAGCGAGGGCAACGGGGGAGUGGAAAUGGACUCCAUCCCCCGCCCCAUGCUGUGCCGGAUUAAAAUGGCUGGACGGCUGAUUACAGUUCUUUCCGCUCUCUUCUAUUUGUUUUGUGACGCUAGUGGCAUUAAAAAGGUAAUCAACAUGUCCAGAAGGGGUCAGGAGAGAGAGAAGAGACCGACGCUCAGAGCGUACAGGCGGGAAGUGUAUGAGAGAGAGUAGCUUUGCUCAGCGUGAACCAUCAUUAAAUUUGCAGUUGCAGUUACAUUUGCGAGUGAUAGAGAGUCAUGUGCUCCAGCAUUGAUGGAUUAAAGAUACAUUAUUUGGUAGAGACAUGUGGACGAUGGGAUAGAUUGAAGAUUAAAUUAACAUGACUUGCCACGAAAAGCAUAAAAAUGUAAACAUAAACCGCUAAAAACAUCCAACAGCAGCAAAAAAUAAGAACGAAAAGAAGAACAACAAUGACCUUGGCAUUGACCCAAAUAUAUGGAAGCAGACAAACAUUUCUGUGUGAUCUUGAGCGUAGUGUAGUCAGUGUGUGUAUGUGUAUGUUUAACGGUGUGUGCACCAAAUAUAAAAGGAAAAAAGCAAAAUACAAAAUAAAGAAAUGGCAGGAGAAUGAAAGGCAACAAAAGCAACAGAAAAGGCGGCUGCGGACAUGCUGAACGAAUAAAUGGGGUGCACCAAAAAAACGCACACACAGACUCAUACCAGAAUGUACAUGCAGACGCAUAUGCAUACAUAUGUGGGUAAGACAGCCCCCCACUCUGCAGAUACCAUAGUCGUUAAGAAUGUGCAGCGAAAACUGCAUUACCUUCUAUUUAAGAUACCUUGUACAUACAUAUAUAUGUACAUGCAUACGUAUGCAAGACAUCCCCAGAGCACGGUGGUUAUUUCGUUUGUAGUUGUUGUUGUCCUUCACUGUAUUACGCCAUUCCCCCACGCUAGCCGAAUAUCUUCCAACAAAAACAAAACCGAAAUUCUUAGAAAACAGACUAAAACAAAUCAAUCGAAAAUGCUCAUGACACGUGCAUACCACUCACUAGGUAAAGGGGGAGAGGGAUGACAGGAGGCAGAAUUGCCGGCGAUGCGAAAAAUAAGACAAAAGGGAAAAAAUGCCGAUGGCAGACGCGACGCAAACGCAGCGACGCCGCCACGCAAAGAAAUAGUAAUCAAAACAAAAUAAAAAUCAUUAAAAUUCAUAAAAAAAGACAGCGACAACAACAACGAUAAGAGCAACAACAGCUUUAAAGUUGUACGAGGAACGGACCGGGGAGAAAACGAACGGGAUGCGAUAGCAGUUCAAGUUCAAGCGUUAGACAGAGACGGAUGGAAUGAGGUGAAGUGGGAGGUGUUUAACCUAAAAGAAAAUUCGUAAAACACAAACAAAAGAGAGGAGGUUGAAAGGGGUAAGGGGAACCAGCCAGAGCAGAGCCAACCCAAAAAGUGAGUGCGAACGGGUACCCCCAUUGUAAAUAUGCGAGUGCCAUCCCAUGGAAAGGCAUAAAUAUUUGACCUGCCUGUGCCUGUUUCUGCCCGUAUAAUAGGAACAGAGUGUGUGUGAGAGGACGAGUGCUGGAGUGGAGUGAGUUGAGUAAAAGGCAGGCAGGUAAAGAGUACGUAUGAGUGUAUGCCUCUGUGACGUCACCAGUCAAGUUCACGUGCUGUUCACGCAGUCCCAGUUUAUUGACCCACUUUCGAUGUGUAUUAUCUAGAAAUGAAGCCAACUCGAGGCGCAUACGAGCGGAGGGGGUACAGGGACUCUGGCGAGGCAAACCAAACCAUUCAAUGAAUGAGAGUGGUCUUCCCUCUUCAAAAUGCUCCGUAUAACGAAAUCACCAUCGUCUCUGUUCUUACCUGAUGCGGCGAGGGGGAUGCCUGCGAGGGCUGUGGCGAGGGACUGGGAGCAUGGCCUGGACUGCUGGGUGGGGGUCCUCCGGCUGCAGCAUGCGGCGGAGGGGGCUGUUGCAGUGGCUGCGACACAUGAUGCGGGGAGGCGGGCGGCAAUGGAUGUCCGGGACCAGGACUGGGCGAAGAACCGCCAGGCCAGGGCCGAUUCGGUUCCGGAUACUGCAAUGGAAUCAUGAUUAAUCUCUGGUUGGAUCAAACAAGAAGGACAAUCCUCUCACCUGGUGCGUCGAAUAGGCAGUUCGAUGAUUGGGUCCCGCGGCCGGCAGUCCGGGCGGAGUGGGGUAUCUUUGCGGGUACGGCGAAUAUUGAGAUGUUGGCGGUGUGUUCUGCUGCGGCUGUUGCUGUGCGGCGCCCGGCGGAGGUCCUCCCGGUCCCGCGCCACCAGGCUGCUGACCCGCCUGCUGCUGUUGUGCCUGUGCCUGCUGCUGCUGCGGCGAACUAGGAUAGGAACCUGAAUUUUGACCGUGAGCUGGCGGAUAAGGCGAUUGACCCCUGGAAGUGUUUGUCUGUGAAUGCACAGAAG